rnacentral:rRNA from 1 species
UACAUGGGGUGCAAACGUUGCUCGGAAUUAUUGGGCGUAAAGCGCACGUAGGUGGUCUGUUAUGUCAGAUGUGAAAGCCCUCGGCUUAACUGAGGAAGUGCACCUGAAACUGGCAGGCUUGAGUACGAAAGAGGGUCGCGGAAUUCCCGGUGUAGAGGUGAAAUGCGUAGAUAUCGGGAGGAACACCUGUGGCGAAAGCGGCGCACUGGACCACAACUGACGCUGAGGCGCGAAAGCUAGGGGAGCAAACAGG